rnacentral:rRNA from 1 species
UGGGGAAUAUUGCACAAUGGGCGCAAGCCUGAUGCAGCCAUGCCGCGUGUGUGAAGAAGGCCUUCGGGUUGUAAAGCACUUUCAGCGAGGAGGAAGGUGGUGAACUUAAUACGUUCAUCAAUUGACGUUACUCGCAGAAGAAGCACCGGCUAACUCCGUGCCAGCAGCCGCGGUAAUACGGAGGGUGCAAGCGUUAAUCGGAAUUACUGGGCGUAAAGCGCACGCAGGCGGUUUGUUAAGUCAGAUGUGAAAUCCCCGGGCUCAACCUGGGAACUGCAUUUGAAACUGGCAAGCUAGAGUCUCGUAGAGGGGGGUAGAAUUCCAGGUGUAGCGGUGAAAUGCGUAGAGAUCUGGAGGAAUACCGGUGGCGAAGGCGGCCCCCUGGACGAAGACUGACGCUCAGGUGCGAAAGCGUGGGGCAGCAAACAGGAUUAGAUACCCUGGUAGUCCACGCUGUAAACGAUGUCGAUUUGGAGGUUGUGCCCUUGAGGCGUGGCUUCCGGAGCUAACGCGUUAAAUCGACCGCCUGGGGAGUACGGCCGCAAGGUUAAAACUCAAAUGAAUUG